rnacentral:tRNA from 1 species
CGGACGCGAGGGAGACGGCCAACCCGCCUGAUUUGGGAUCAGGAGUCACCGCGUUCGACUCGCGGGCGUCCGAC